rnacentral:rRNA from 1 species
UCCAGAGUUUGAUCAUGGCUCAGAUUGAACGCUGGCGGCAUGCCUUACACAUGCAAGUCGAACGGUAACAGGUCUUUGGAUGCUGACGAGUGGCGAACGGGUGAGUAAUACAUCGGAACGUGCCUAGUAGUGGGGGAUAACUACUGGAAAGAGUGGCUAAUACCGCAUGAGAUCUACGGAUGAAAGCAGGGGAUCGCAAGACCUUGUGCUACUAGAGCGGCCGAUGGCAGAUUAGGUAGUUAAUAAAGAAAAGCUUACCAAGCCGACGAUCUGUAGCUGGUCUGAGAGGACGAUCAGCCAC